rnacentral:lncRNA from 1 species
UCAAUUGCAGAUUCCUAAAUCUAUAGUGUGUGAGAGUCACGGUGAGGAAGAUUAGGCUGAGGGAGAAUCCGAUUCAUGGUUGGCGUUGCGGAGGGAAAGCUGAACGUUGUGGUUGGCAAUGGUCGUCGGCGACGCGGCAUACCAAGCAGGGAGGCCGACGUCGAGACUGGAGAAGGCGAGAGCGACGCAGUGGCUGUCGGAUGGAAGCGGCGAUCGACAGAGAAGGAAGAAGCUCCACGCCGUGGCCGAUGUGGAUCCUCGCAGUGAUUCACGGCGGUCGAUUGGCAGAUAGGGGUGAGGCCACCGGCGAUUGGGAGGAGGAGUAUUUCUAUGUCUCGUGCACGAGCAGAGAGAGAGUGGCUUGUGACCGGCGGUAGUCGCCGACAGCUCCUGACGGUGGCGGCAGAGUAGCCCUGGCAUGCGAUCUUAUUUAACUCUAACGCCCUGGCACGCGAUGACGAUGUGAUCGCCCUGGACAAUAAUAAGAUGUGGAGGGCAGAGUUAAAUAAGAUCGCGUGCCAGGGCUACUCUGCCGCCACCGUCAGGAGCCAUCGGCGACUACCGCCGGCCGCAAGCCACUCUCUCUGCUCAUGCACGAGACACAGAAAUACUCCUCCUCCCAAUCGCCGGUGGCCUCACGUCCCCAUCUGUCAAUCGACCGCCGUGAAUCACUGCCAGGAUCCACGUCGGCCACGGCGUGGAGCUUGUUCCUUCUCUAUCGAUCGUCGCUUCCAUCCGACAGCCAUUGCGUCGCUCUCGCCUUCUCCAGUCUCGAUGUCGGCCUCCCUGCUUGGUAUGCCGCGUCGCCGGCGACCAUUGCCAACCACAACGUUCAGCUUUCCCUCCGCAACGCCAACCAUGAAUCGGAUUCUCCCUCAACCUAAUCUUCCUCACCGUGACUCUCACACACUAUAGAUUUAGGAAUCUGCAAUUGAAUGUUGUUCCUCUUCUCUAGUGGACACUCUGCUACCCUAGAGGUGAUUCGAUUGGGGGUUCCAGCGUAAUCACCGAUUCUUAAUUUUUGAUGAACCUUGCUAUGUGAAACAUGGUCGGGCUGGUUGGGUGAUAGUGUUGUUUUGUGUGAGACUUUGUUGAAUCUAUGAUGAUGAUAAUGUGCUGAAAUGGAUUGGCAGAGAUGAUGAUGGGGGGAACCAGUGAUUGCUAAGAAGGGAAUGGUUUNUCUAUUCGCCUCUCACCCUGCAUAGCGCCUAAACCAGCUAACCUCCCCCUUCACCACCCUAUCAAAACCAUUCCCUUCUUAGCAAUCACUGGUUCUCCCCAUCAUCAUCUCUGCCAAUCCAUUUCAGCACAUUAUCAUCAUCAUAGAUUCAGCAAAGUCUCACACAAAACAACACUAUCACCCAACCAGCCCAACCAUGUUUCACAUAUCAAGGUUCAUCAAAAAUUAAGAAUCGGUGAUUACGCUGGAACCCCCAAUCGAAUCACCUCUACGGUAGCAGAGUGUCCACUAGAGAAGAGGAACAACAUUCAAUUGCAGAUUCCUAAAUCUAUAGUGUGUGAGAGUCACGGUGAGGAAGAUUAGGCUGAGGGAGAAUCCGAUUCAUGGUUGGCGUUGCGGAGGGAAAGCUGAACGUUGUGGUUGGCAAUGGUCGUCGGCGACGCGGCAUACCAAGCAGGGAGGCCGACGUCGAGACUGGAGAAGGCGAGAGCGACGCAGUGGCUGUCGGAUGGAAGCGGCGAUCGACAGAGAAGGAAGAAGCUCCACGCCGUGGCCGAUGUGGAUCCUCGCAGUGAUUCACGGCGGUCGAUUGGCAGAUAGGGGUGAGGCCACCGGCGAUUGGGAGGAGGAGUAUUUCUAUGUCUCGUGCACGAGCAGAGAGAGAGUGGCUUGUGACCGGCGGUAGUCGCCGACAGCUCCUGACGGUGGCGGCAGAGUAGCCCUGGCAUGCGAUCUUAUUUAACUCUAACGCCCUGGCACGCGAUGACGAUGUGAUCGCCCUGGACAAUAAUAAGAUGUGGAGGGCAGAGUUAAAUAAGAUCGCGUGCCAGGGCUACUCUGCCGCCACCGUCAGGAGCCAUCGGCGACUACCGCCGGCCGCAAGCCACUCUCUCUGCUCAUGCACGAGACACAGAAAUACUCCUCCUCCCAAUCGCCGGUGGCCUCACGUCCCCAUCUGUCAAUCGACCGCCGUGAAUCACUGCCAGGAUCCACGUCGGCCACGGCGUGGAGCUUGUUCCUUCUCUAUCGAUCGUCGCUUCCAUCCGACAGCCAUUGCGUCGCUCUCGCCUUCUCCAGUCUCGAUGUCGGCCUCCCUGCUUGGUAUGCCGCGUCGCCGGCGACCAUUGCCAACCACAACGUUCAGCUUUCCCUCCGCAACGCCAACCAUGAAUCGGAUUCUCCCUCAACCUAAUCUUCCUCACCGUGACUCUCACACACUAUAGAUUUAGGAAUCUGCAAUUGAAUGUUGUUCCUCUUCUCUAGUGGACACUCUGCUACCCUAGAGGUGAUUCGAUUGGGGGUUCCAGCGUAAUCACCGAUUCUUAAUUUUUGAUGAACCUUGCUAUGUGAAACAUGGUCGGGCUGGUUGGGUGAUAGUGUUGUUUUGUGUGAGACUUUGUUGAAUCUAUGAUGAUGAUAAUGUGCUGAAAUGGAUUGGCAGAGAUGAUGAUGGGGGGAACCAGUGAUUGCUAAGAAGGGAAUGGUUUGUAUAGGGUGGUGAAGGGGGAGGUUAGCUGGUUUAGGCGCUAUGCAGGGUGAGAGGCGAAUAGAACUAUGAACAGGGUUGGAUGAAGAAGGCCGAAGAGGUACCGAUGAAGAUACUGGUUUGUUGGUUUUUCCUCUUUCUGUUGGGUUCUUUUUUUGGUGAGGAUCAAACUUAACAACAAAGGGGUGGUUUUUGAAGUCGACUAAUAGCCGAAGAAAAUUCUCAUGGUUUCAUUGUGCUUAGGGGAACGGGGUGACAGGGUGCAAUGAGAAUUGGAAGAUUCAACACGAUACAUACUCAAACAAGAUGAAAUCAAGCAUAAAAGGCAGUAGAAUGUAGUAAACGUUCAUGGCCACACAAGUGAGCAAGGUACUUACCUCGCGGAGCACUACUUGCUGCUGUUGGCUUCUGUCAGGUUCACCGCCGGUGGGGCCUGGAGCCGACGGGGAUGUCACCAACGUCAACGCAACGCUUUCUUCUUCGAUCCAAAUUGACCACCCCAACCCCAUCGGACCUGCAACUUGAGAAACUUAUUCUCUUAUUUUUUAUCUUCCCGUGUUUGUGGCUUUGUGUUGCUUCUAUUGCAGGUGAAAGAGUAACAGGGGCCAGUGAUGGUUGACGUAGGGGUGAAGGAAAUCAAAGAUUAGUUGAGCGUGUUGUUGCUGGAUUGGUUUGAUGGUAAGGGAAACGUGUUGGAGGUUAUGAAGUUGAGUUGGUAUUCUCUGUUCUGGUUUGAAUGCAGGGAAUUAAGAAGUAUGAUAAGGAGAUAAAGAUUUAAUGGAAAUGAAAAUGGUGGUGGUGGUUACGCGUAGGAGUUGGCGGUUGGAGGAGUUUGAUGGGUUAGUUUAUUCAAAAUGCUGUAUGAAGGAAAAGGUGAAUUGAGAGUAGUGUGUGAGUUGAUGAUGAUGAAGACACUCUGUCUAGAGACUAUAAAGGCCUCGGAUGAAGAUGAUGGGUGUUGGAGGCCAUGGAGAAUUGUCCAAGGUGAAUGAUGGAUAUGUUGGAGGUGGUUAAGGGUUAGGGGAGAGAGGAGUAGAGGUGGAGAGAAAAGGAAUCUGUCUGAUGAGGGAGAGUGGUGUGCCCUUACGGGUGUCUCGCCUGUGACCAUAGGAAUGGAGAGUCUUGUAUUGUAUGAGUGUGUUUUUUUUGCCUGUCUGCCAAAACCGUUUUCUGCCAAUUUUGCAAUGCAUCUCUGCCAAAACCAAAUCAACCUCUACCACCCCCCUUUCUCCAACACGCGUUCACUUUUCUCUUUUCCACCAAACAAAAUCUUUUUUCUUUUUUUUUUCACAAACGACAAAUCAAGCUCUUUUUCCCUUUUUUUUUCUUUUUUUCUUUUUCUUUCUUAUUUAUUUUUGUUUU